UUGUGAAUUUUUAUUUGUCCA
rnacentral:piRNA from 1 species